UAUAAUCAUGGACUGCUAGGCCGGUAUUCAUAGUCCAAGCUUGAGUUUCAAGACGAUCUUAAGCCCGUUCUCAAGACCAAAAUCGAUUCAUAGUUCUUGCUUAAGAUCGAUUCUCAAGUUGAAACUUGAAGUCGGUCUCAAGGUAGAACUACAGUAAAUCGCCGACUUGAGAUGGUCUUGAGCUGUCAAGUUGACAGUUUCCAGUGAACAGGUUAGUAAUUUCGUAUAUCUUAUACUUUUAUAGUAAAUUGUCUUGUAUACUUCAGGAUUUGGGUAGAACUGAAAGUGAUGGAGACAUCAACGUGGAGACCGUGGCUUUCUGUAAAGAUCCCGCAUUCUCUGCUGCUGCAACCGGUGCAAUCAACAGCAACGUACAAGGAAAACUUUACAUUUGGGAUAUUUCUAAACAAACCCUCAGGCACGAGAUAGACCAGGAAGGUGGUAUCGUAAAAUUGGUUUAGACCCAGACAUCGAUUUUGUUAACAGCAGCAUUAGAUGGUAAACUAAAGAUGUUUCGAUGCUAAAGCAGGCUAUUGCCUCCGGACGUUUUCAGGACAUAGCGCGGCCUUAUACGACUUAUGCAUAUCCAGGUAAACUAUUGGCGGACAAAUUUGUGUACUGAUUAGUUGCGAAAGGAACAGAAAAUGGAAUUGUUAUCGAACAGAUUCGGAACGGGUUAAUUUCGACGUGUUAGUUUUGCUUAUACUCGCACCAAAUAGUUGCUAACGAACAAUAUAUUUUUCACUGAAAAAUUUGGAUAACUAUAUAAUAAAUUUCAUAAUAAAUUUCGAUUCUUUUGCACUGCAACAUUUUUGAGCGUUCAAGUGUUCUCGGGGUCAAUUCUGUAUCUUGCAAUAUAGUGAAAAUGCUACAAGUGAGCGACUUUGUCGCUUUCUAAGGAGACUGUUAGAAAGAGACACAGCUAUUCACUUUUAGCAUAAGAUACAGAAUUGACACCCUGAUCUUUGAUGACAUUUUUGGGAUAUGGCGUUCUCGCUUGCAAAAUACCGAAAUUCUAUUUAAUACAUAUUUUACAUAUACUUAACGAUGUUUUAUUAUUUUCCAGUGACGGGAAGAAAGCGUUGACCACUUCCGACGACCCAAUCA